GACGAACGCUGGCGGCGUGCCUAAUACAUGCAAGUAGAACGCACAGUUUAUACCGUAGCUUGCUACACCAUAAACUGUGAGUUGCGAACGGGUGAGUAACGCGUAGGUAACCUGCCUGGUAGCGGGGGAUAACUAUUGGAAACGAUAGCUAAUACCGCAUAAUAUUGAUUAUUGCAUGAUAAUUGAUUGAAAGAUGCUAUUGCAUCACUACCAGAUGGACCUGCGUUGUAUUAGCUAGUAGGUGAGGUAACGGCUCACCUAGGCGACGAUACAUAGCCGACCUGGGAGGGGGAUCGGCCCACCUGGGACUGAGACCCGGCCCAGAAUCCUACGGGAGGCAGCAGUAGGGAAUCUUCGGCAAUGGACGAAAGUCUGAACGAGCAACGCCGCGUGAGUGAAGAAGGUUUUCGGAUCGUAAAGCUCCGUUGUAAGGGAAGAAAGGGUGUGAGAGUGGAAAGUUCACACUGUGACGGUAUCUUACCAGAAAGGGACGGCUAACUACGUG
rnacentral:rRNA from 1 species